GAGAGUGGAACCGUCAUUGCUAUCAUCUCCUUUAAUCAUCUCUCUUCCUCUCCACCUCCACACACGUGCUCCUCCUUCAUCUCCUCCCUCAAGUUAUCUUUCUUCUAUGCUUGCUGAUACGUUAGUGCAUGGAGGAAGAGACAUACGAGCAGGAGUCAUCGCAUCUUGACGCCAUCGGCACGGAUCACCACGACCGGGGCCACCGUUUCAAUCCGACCAACUGUGAUCAUCAACUGUGAGUCAUCGGAGAGGACCAUGCACUUUUGGGGCUGGGAUCUGCCACUAUGAUUCCAAGCCGUGAAGGUUAAAAGAAAUUAUAUUAAUUUCUCGUGUUGCAAGUUUCUUAAAUCCUAGAUUAAAUAUAUUUUAAUCAUGUCUUAUUGUUUUGCUUCUAUUCUUUUCCGAUCUGGCGUCUCGUUGACGAGAUCGAGAUUGAGAUCUAUGGUGAAACCUUAGCUUUCUUGCUGAUCAAGUCAUCUUGUUUAUUGUCGGAUCCGUUUCUGGUUUUCUGUUAUGGCUAAGUGAACAUGACGAGUAGUUGGAUAUGUGGAUGGAUUGGUGUCUUGGGAUCUUCUUCCCCUUGCAGGUGAACAUGACGAGUAGUUGGAUAUGUGGAUGGAGUGGUGUCUUGGGAUUGUUGUAUUUUAUUUCGGUUUUAAUUAACUUUUCGAUUUAAUGUAUUUGGUUUUAAAUUAUAAACUUGUUUUA